UAGCAAUACACAUGGUCAACCAGUGCUCCAUUUACACGGGAGGGAGAAGAGAUCCCCAUGAUUCUCAUGAUCCCAGCAGUCAGAUCCCCACCGAUCAGAUAUAGUGGUCUUCAACCUGCGGAUCUCCAGAUGUUGCAAAACUACAAUUCCCAGCAUGCCCGGUCAGCCAUCGGCCACUGCGGCCUUCGUCAUCCCUGUGCAUGAAUGUCCCUGUGCCUCGUCGUCAAGGCAAUGUCACUAGUCCGGGGCCGGCUCAGAGCGGAGAAGAGGGCCUCCCAGUGAAGAUGGACAGCCCAGAACUACUAACCAUCCCCACCAGAUGGUCCCUGCAGCAUAGAUGACCCGGACCAGCUCACCUUUCCUUCCCUCCGAGGAGAGCGCUGGCAAAAGAUCUUACUUUAAUGUGAUCAGUCCUGGCUGUUGCAUGAGCGUGGGACCACAGCCUGUCUUCUCCAAGCAGCACAUAUUGGAAUGUGAACGUAAUAUUAUGCAUACAAGCACCAAACCACACAUGCGGACGUCAAAAGUGAGAAGAAAAUGAAAUGAUCUGAAAAUACAGCAGAUUUUCUUUCUUUCUACAGAUGGGACUACAUUCAAUUUUAAAUAAUUAUUUUUUAUUAGAUUUUUUUAAAUUCUCUUUAAAAUACAGAUUUAGUGCUUUAAAUUAUUCAUGAAAGGGGUUGUGUAAGAUUAGCAAAAAGUUUAUGUCUGGUUUUGUACACUGCUCAAAAAAAUAAAGGAAA